GUCUUCUUAAAUGUUCUACUGCUCAAAGCAGGUAAACGGUAUGAUAUGUGAAUUAUAUCUCAUCUACUUUUGUUUGAAAAAGCAAGAGAGUUCCAGAAAAACAUCUAUUUCUGCUUUAUUGACUAUGCCAAAGCCUUUGAUUGUGUGGAUCACAAUAAACUGGAAAAUUCUGAAAGAGAUGGGAAUACCAGACCACUUGACCUGCUUCUUGAGAAACCUAUAUGCAGGUCAGGAAGCGACAGUUAGAACUGGACAUGGAACAACAGACUGGUUCCAAAUAGGUAAAGGAGUACAACAAGGCUGUAUAUGGCCACCCUGCUUAUUUAACUUAUAUGUAGAGUACAUUAUGAGAAACGCUGGGCUGGAGGAAGCACAAGCUGGAGUCAAGAUUGCCAGGAGAAAUAUCAAUAACCUCAGAGAUGCAGAUGACACCACCCUUAUGGCAGAAAGUGAAGAAUAACUAAAGAGCCUCUUGAUGAAAGUGAAAGUGGAGAGUGAAAAAGUUGGCUUAAAGCUCAACAUUCAAAAAUGAAGAUCAUGGCCUCCAGUCCCAUCACUUCAUGGGAAAUAGAUGGGGAAACAGUGGAAACAGUGUCAGACUUCACUUUUCUGGGCUCCAAAAUCACUGCAGAUGGUGACUGCAGCCAUAAAAUUAAAAGAUGCUUACUCCUUGGAAGGAAAGUUAUGACCAAUCUAGAUAGCAUAUUCAAAAGCAGAGACAUUACUUUGUCAACAAAGGUCCAUCUACUCAAGGCUAUGGUUUUUCCAGUGGUCAUGUAUGGAUGUGAGAGUUGGACUAUAAAGAAAGCUGAGUGCCGAAGAAUUGAUGCUUUUUAACUGUGGUGUUGGAGAAGACUCUUGAGAGUCCCUCGGACUGCAAGGACAUCCAACCAGUCCAUCCUAAAGGAGAUCAGUCCUGGGAUUUCUUUGGAAGGACUGAUGCUAAAGCUGAAACUCCAGUACUUUGGCCACCUGAUGCAAAGAGUUGACUCAUUUGAAAAGACCCUGAUGCUGGGAAAGAUUGAGGGCAGGGGGAGAAGGGGAUGACAGAGGAUGAGAUGGUUGGAUGGUGUCACCAACUCAAUGGACAUGGGUUUGGGGGACUCCGGGAGUUGGUGAUGGACAGGGAGGCCUGGCAUGCUGCGGUUCAUGGGAUCGCAAAGAGUCGGACAUGACUGAGCAAGUGAACUGAACUGAACUUUUGUUCUUAAUUACUUCUUUUGGGGUAUUCUGGGUCUUCAGACUUCUCAGGUGGCUCAGUGGGUAAAGAAUCCACCUGGAAUGCAGGAGACAUAGGAGACAUGGGUUCAGUCCCUGGAUUGAGAAGAUCCCCUGGAGGAGGGCAUGGCAACCCACUCCAGCGUUCUUGCCUGGAGAAUCCUAUAGACAGAGGAACCUGGCUAGAGUCCAUGGGGUCACAAAGAGUCAGACAUGACUGAGGCGACUUAGCAUGCACGCAUGCAUGCUGGGUCUUCAUUGCUGUGCAGCUUUUUUCUAGUUGCAGUGAUCAGGGGUUUCUCAUCUCUUAUUGGGGAGCAUGGACUGUAGGCACAUGGGCUUCAGUAGUUGCAGCCCGUGGACUCAGUGGUUGUGGCCACCUGGUCUCUAAAGCACAGGCUCAGUAGUUAUGGUAUGGGCUUAGUCGCUGGGCAUCUGGGAUCUUCCCAGACUAGGAAUAGAACCCAUGCAUUGGCAGGUGGAUUCUUUAAUGAGCCACCAGGGAGACCCUCUCAUAUCAUCUUUUAAUAAAUUUAUUUAUUUUUAACUGAAGGAUAAUUGC
ensembl:lncRNA